rnacentral:lncRNA from 1 species
GGUUUAUAAAACUCAACCCUAUGAAACGAGUUAUGAUGUUAUGGAGAACAAUGAAGAUUAUAAAGAAUCUAAUUACGGUGAAAAGAAUUUCUAAGGAAUGGAAGUUUUAAACAGGUGUAGUAGGGUGCAUAGUAGAUGUUGAUAUGGAAGAUAGUAUCCAGAAAAUCGAAGAAAACAAAUUGUGUCGUUGAAGCUAAUAAAGAUUGAAUUUCAUGUACAAUUUCUUUAAGAUCAUUAUAAACGUAAUUGUUUUCCGUCAAACAAUAAAAAACAUACCAUUUUAUCAAAGCCGCGAUGUUCACCGGAAGUUUUUUCUGGGAUUUGAAUAAUUUUUUUUCCCAAUGCGUGUCUUUUUACAUAGUACUAAAUUUGAAUCAAAAUAAUAUGGUUUUGGUUGAAGCCCGCGUAUUACGCGGGCAUUAACCUAGUUCUACAUAUAGUGACAAACUCUUUAUUAGAGUUAUUUAU